rfam:Populus trichocarpa scaffold_17_contig_197, whole genome shotgun sequence.
AGGUGCGAUCAUACCAGUACUAUUGCACCGGAUCCCAUGAGAACUUUGAAGUUAAGUGUGCUUCUCACUUUUUCUUGUUUUGCUCUUA